AGCUGUGGAAGAUUCAGGAGAAGCUGGAGUGCUACUUUGGGUCUCUGGUGGGGUCCAAUGUUUACAUCACUGCCCAGGGAUCCCAGGGCCUUCCUCCUCACUAUGAUGAUGUUGAGGUGUUUAUCCUUCAGCUGGAAGGCGAGAAACACUGGCGGCUCUAUAAACCAAGGGUGCCUUUAGCUCGGGAAUAUGAUGUGGAAUCAGAAGAUAGGAUUGGGAAUCCCACACGUGAGUUCAUAUUAAAGCCAGGUGACUUACUGUACUUCCCAAGAGGGACCAUCCACCAAGCUGACACUCCUCUUGGGACCUCCCAUUCCACACAUGUGACCAUCAGUACCUACCAAAACAAGUAAUUAUUCUUUAUCUUUUGUUUUGUGUGGCUUUCCUCUGCCAAGUGAUGUGUGUGAGUAGUACAGACCUGAGAUGUGGUGAAGUUUUGGGGCUUGGGGGAAGGAGGGGAGCAAGA